GAUGAACGCUGGCGGCACGCUUAACACAUGCAAGUCGAACGGAGUGGCGAACGGCUGAGUAACACGUGGGCAACCUGCCCUUCAGUUCGGAAUAGCUACGGGAAACCGUGGGUAAUACCGGAUGCUGAAGGAGGGGCCCGCGGCCUGUUAGCUUGUUGGUGAGGUAACGGCUCACCAAGGCAGUAAUGGGUAGCCGGGUUGGGAGACCGACCGGCCAGAUUGGGACGGAGAGACGGUCCAGACUCCUACGGGAGGCAGAAGUGGGGAAGCUUGCGCAAUGGGAGAAAGCCUGUCGCAGCGAUGCCGCGGGCGGGAUGAAGGCCUUCGGGUCGUAGACCGCUUUCAGCAGGGACGCGGUACCUGCAGAAGAAGCCCCGGCGAACUACGUGCCAGCAGCCGCGGUAAUAC
rnacentral:rRNA from 1 species